GUUCCCGAGUCCCCAAAACUCAGACCUGAGGAAAUCGUCAAAGUAGUUAUCUCAUUAUUUAUAUAAAAUGCAA